AUCUAAGAGAUUAGACGUUCCCUUCGGGGACAUGGAUACAGGUGGUGCAUGGUUGUCGUCAGCUCGUGUCGUGAGAUGUUGGGUUAAGUCCCGCAACGAGCGCAACCCUUAUUAUCAGUUGCCAGCAUUAAGUUGGGCACUCUGGUGAGACUGCCGGUGACAAACCGGAGGAAGGUGGGGAUGACGUCAAAUCAUCUUGCCCCUUAUGAGCUGGGCUACACACGUGCUACAAUGGAUGGUACAACGAGUUGUGAACUCGCUAGAGUAAACUAAUCUCUUAAAGCCAUCUCUCAGUUCGGCAUCGAAAGCUGCUACCUCUCUUAAUUAAUCCCAGAAAUCGCUAGAUAUAUGCAGUAUAAGCAUUACCUAAGGUAUAAAAUGAUUCCGCGGUUUUUGAUAACCACUCUGAUUUUAAAUUUUCC
rnacentral:rRNA from 1 species